GACGAACGCUGGCGGCGUGCUUAACACAUGCAAGUCGAACGGAGUGGCGAACGGUUUAGUAACACGUGGGUGAUCUGCCCUGCACUUCGGGGUAAGCUAGAGGAACUGGGUCUAGUAACAGAUAGUGCACGAUGAGCUCGCGGCACAUAAGCUGGUUGGGGGGGUAAUGGCCUACCAGGGCGUCGACGGCUAGCCGGCCUGAGAGGGGGUACGGGGCCGUUGGGACUGUGAGACGGCGCAGACUCCAACGGGGGGCAGCGGUGGGGAAUAUUGUACAAUGGGCGGAAGCGUGAUGCAGAGACGCCGCGUGGGGGAUGAAGGCCUUCGGGGUGUAAACUCCUUUCGACAGAGACGCGGUACCUGUAGAAGAAGCACCGGCUAACUACGUGCCAGCAGCCGCGGUAAUAC
rnacentral:rRNA from 1 species